UACGAAGGUCCCGAGCGUUGUUCGGAAUCACUGGGCGGAAAGGGAGCGUAGGCGGCGUGGUAAGUCAGAUGUGAAAUCCCGGGGCUCAACCCCGGAACUGCAUCCGAUACUGCCGUGCUUGAGGGUUGGAGAGGUAGCUGGAAUUAUCGGUGUAGCAGUGAAAUGCGUGGAUAUCGAUAGGAACACUCGUGGCGAAGGCGAGCUACUGGACAACAUCUGACGCUGAGGCUCGAAGGCUAGGGGAGCAAAAGGG
rnacentral:rRNA from 1 species